UCCGUAGGCGGGCAAUUAAGUCAGAGGUGAAAUCCCACAGCUCAACUGUGGAACUGCCUUUGAUACUGGUUGUCUUGAGUUAUAGUGAAGUAGAUAGAAUAUGUAGUGUAGCGGUGAAAUGCAUAGAUAUUACAUAGAAUACCGAUUGCGAAGGCAGUCUACUAACUGUCGACUGACGCUAAGGGACGAAAGCGUGGGGAGCGAACAGGAUUAGAUACCCUGGUAGUCC
rnacentral:rRNA from 1 species